GAUGAACGCUAGCUACAGGCUUAACACAUGCAAGUCGAGGGGCAGCAUGAGCUUAGCUUGCUAAGCUUGAUGGCAACCGGCGCACGGGUGAGUAACACGUAUCCAGCCUUCCGUUUACUCAGGGAUAGCCUUUCGAAAGAAAGAUUAAUACCUGAUGGUAUCGAGAGAUUGCAUGAUAACCCGAUUAAAGAUUUAUCGGUAAACGAUGGGGAUGCGUUCCAUUAGGUAGUAGGCGGGGUAACGGCCCACCUGGCCAACGAGGGAGAGGGGUUUUGAGAAGAAGGACCCCCACAUUGGAACUGAGAAACGGACCAAACUCCUACGGGAGGCAGCAGUGAUGAAUAUUGGUCAAUGGGCGCGAGCCUUGACCAGCCAAGUAGCGUGAAGGAUGAAGGUCCUACGGAUUGUAAGCUUCUUUUAUAAGGGAAUAAAGUGUGCCACGUGUGGCGUUUUGCAUGUACCUUAUGAAUAAGCAUCGGCUAACUCCGUGCCAGCCGCCGCCGUAACAC
rnacentral:rRNA from 1 species